rnacentral:rRNA from 1 species
UAGGGCAGAAGAAUCCGUACCACAAACCGACACAGGUGGACAAGAUGAGUAUUCUCAGGCGCUCGGGUGAUGGUCUGCGAAGGAACUAGGCAAAUUAGCUCCGUAACUUCGGGAGAAGGAGUGCCCACCUCAGACGUGGGUCGCAGUGAAUAGCGUCAGGCGACUGUUUAACAAAAACACAGGUCUCUGCUAAGUCAAAAAAACGACGUAUAGGGGCUGACGCCUGCCCGGUGCCGGAAGGUUAAAAGGAGGGGUUAGUCGCAAGGCGAAGCUCUGAAUUGAAGCCCCGGUGAACGGCGGCCGUAACAAUAACGGUCCUAAGGUAGCAAAAUUCCUUGUCGGGUAAGUUCCGACCUGUACGAAUGGCGUAACGAUCUGACGACUGUCGGCGCAGGCCGCCCGGCGAACUUGUGGUUCCGGUGAAGACGCCGGAUGCCCGCCACUAGACGAAAAGACCCCGUGCACCUUUACUAUACUUUAACAAUGAAUUAUGGGAUGGACUGCGUAGGAUAGGUGGGAGGCUUUGAACCCGGAUUCUUGGAUUCGGGGGAGCCAAUGGUGAAAUACCACCCUGUUUAUUCUGUGAUUCUAACCUACCGACCUGAUCGGCCGGAGGGACAUUGUUAGACGGGUAGUUUGACUGGGGCGGUCGCCUCCAAAAUUGUAACGGAGGCGUGCGAAGCUUGGUUCAGGAGGUUUGGAAAUCCUCCUUCGAGUGCAAUAGCAUAAACCAGGUUGACUGUGAGACCUACAAGUCAAGCAGCUGCGAAAGCAGGCUAUAGUGAUUCGGUGAUUCUGUAUGGAAGGGUCAUCGCUCAACGGAUAAGAGGUACACCGGGGAUAACAGGCCGAUCGGAGUCAAGAGUUCAUAUCGACGCUCCGGUUUGGCACCUCGAUGUCGGUUCAUCGCAUCCCGGGGGUGUAGAAGCUCCCAAGGGUUAGGCUGUUCGCCUAUUAAAGCGGUACGUGAACUGGGUUCAGAACGUCGCGAGACAGUUCGGUCUCUAUCUGUGGUGGGCGUAGGAAAUUUGAAAGGAUCUGCCUUUAGUACGAGAGGACCGAGGUGGACGAACCUCUUGUGAUCCAGUUGUCCCGCCAGGGGCACCGCUGGGUAGCGAAGUUCGGUUAGGAUAAGCGCUGAAUGCAUAUAAGCGCGAAACCUUCCUUAAGAUGAGAUUUCCCAAGCGCAAGCUAUGAAGGGCCGUGGAAGACGAUCACGUUGAUAGGCUGGGUGUGUAAGCGUAGUAAUACGUUAAGCUGACCAGUACUAAUCGCCCGUUCGGCUUGAUC